ACUUCUGGCAUGAUGAGGACUCAAACACAGCCACAGCAGGGAAGCCCCCUGGGCUGGGGCAGCUCUGGCCUCAGCCUCUCCUUGGUUCAUGUUACAUAUCUGUGAAAUGCAGGCUGCUGACUACAGUCAAAUUACCUACAAAACAAGAAGUCAGCUGAGAUAAAGAAUUGGAGAAAAUGGCUCUGGUUGUCUGAGGUGCUCUGCAAUAUUUGUCAUCUGUGGAUUAGCAGCAAUCAGCAAAACUCACAAUAAGCGGGAGAUGAGGCAGUAAAGCCAGACAAGAAAAUGUGCCGAGAUGAAGACACUGGAAAUCUACAGUCUGGAUUUCAUAUACGGGUGUCAUGGUUUGAGACUGCCCCCCCUGGGAGCCGGGGGGCCUAGAGGUGAUUGAGUGGAAGGGCAGUUUCCCCUGGAUGGACAAUCACCGCUCGUUUUGUUCGCUCCUGUGAAAAAUCGUAUACAUACAACUGGUGGAAGUUGUUGGCAAUCGGUCUGUCUGUCUGCUGCUGUUGUGCCUGCUGCUGUGUGGGUGUGAGAAAGGCCCCAGGGGUGGCAGGGCCCCUUUCUUUCCCCUCCGGGAGGGAAGGGGGCCCCUGCAGCCCACAGCUCUGUCUAAGCCAGGGUUGGAGGCAGCACUGGAGUGAGUGUGUGUUUGUGAAGGAAGGGAUUCACAACACCUGAAGGUAAGAGGGAGAGUGAAGCCAGACCGUCUUCUCCCCCCUCUUUGCAGCCAGACUGCGGAGGGGCUUCUCCUUCCCCUCUCGCUGUAAAGUGGAGGGGAGGCUCGGCAUUGGAGCAGAGCCAAAGUGGAUGGGCAGAAUGCAGCUCCGUGCCAGGGAGAUAACCUGAAGCAAAAUUGGAGAUGGACCAGAGAGAGGCCCGGAGGAUGUCCUUGCAGUGAUCUAAAAUGGAAGACGGUCGAAAACUCAGAGGAGGAAUGAAGAUUCCAGGACAUGUACAUGUGAUAAGCCGAACUAAACUACAGCAGCACGGAACCGAGGUAUGAGAGAGAGAAUAACAGAGCACAGAUGGCACAGAACCAAGGAGAAAGGACUCAGAGCUAUCUUCUUGCACUUCCUGAGGAAGAAAGGACUUCAGUAAACAGCUGGAGGUUGGUGGGGGGAGUGAACCCUUUUCUCUGAACACUCCCACGAGAGAAAGACUGGUUACCUAUCAGCCUGAAGAGCUUUUCCUGGACUGAAUUAAGGGAAAAAGCUUAAAGGGACUAAUAGAAGUGUGUAAUAUUAUAUAUAUAGUAGCUUUUAGCUUGUACAGUAUUUAUUUGUAUAGUAAUUAAUGUAUAUAUACUUCCCCUCUUCCCCUAUAGAAGCCUCUUGCCUGAAAGUUUCUCUUCGGUGUUGAGAUAAAUUGUGAGAAGGGGUGGGGGAAGCCUGGAAAUUGGAUUUUGGAUUUUUGUGGUGGCUCAAACCACCACAACGGGGAACACUGCAAUGGUGUAAUUGAAAAAAAUUAUUAAAAUGUAACUGUGUUUAUGGAAACUUAUCCACUUGUAGCUGUCUUUCUAAAAUGGUGAAUUGUGUUUUGGUGCUGAGUUUUAAGACACAGAUUUAUUUUUGUGUAUCGUUAUCAUCCUAGAAAUCCAUGUAAAUCAUUGCAAUCUUGACAUUUUUGUGUAAGAUCUAUCUGUAUCCUAUAAACUAUUUAUUAACGAAAGCAUCUAAAGACUGGAAUAUAUAAACUGGAGAUUUUACUGGACUUUAAGAUCUUUUGAUUAAAAAUACAUAUCAGGAUAAAAUAUUAAUAGAUCUGUAGCUGUGUAUGUCCUGGUGUUCAGAUGGGCUGAGUGUCCAGAGAAGCUCUUGGAUUCAGUUUGUGUGGGAGAUGCUCAUUACAUCUGAAGCUUAAAGCCCAGCAUUAAACAAAUACACAAGAAUAACAACAAAGUCUUAAUGCAAGAGGGUGGGAGAGUUUGCAGUAAUAUGUUGUGUAUUUACUGGAAAUAAUAAGCUAACCUUAUUCCCUGACUGUUUUCUCCGGAUUCUCCCUCAAAUAUUCUCCUUAUUUAUUUUUCUCAUUUAA